rnacentral:rRNA from 1 species
CCUAGUAACGGCGAGUGAAGCGGCAACAGCUCAAAUUUGAAAUCUGGCCUCACGGUCCGAAUUGUAAUUUGUAGAGGAUGUUUCUGGCGACGUGUCUUCCGAGUUCCCUGGAACGGGACGCCAUAGAGGGUGAGAGCCCCGUCCGGUCGUACACCUAGCCUCUGUGAAACUCCUUCGACGAGUCGAGUAGUUUGGGAAUGCUGCUCUAAAUGGGAGGUAUACGUCUUCUAAAGCUAAAUACCGGCCAGAGACCGAUAGCGCACAAGUAGAGUGAUCGAAAGAUGAAAAGCACUUUGAAAAGAGGGUUAAAUAGUACGUGAAAUUGCUGAAAGGGAAGCGCUUAUGACCAGACUUGGGCUCGGUGAAUCAUCCGGCGUUCUCGCCGGUGCACUUUGCCGUCCCAGGCCAGCAUCAGUUCGCGCCGGGGGAUAAAGGUUUCGGGAAUGUAGCUCCCUCGGGAGUGUUAUAGCCCGUUGCGUAAUACCCUGGCGUGGACUGAGGUCCGCGCUCUGCAAGGAUGCUGGCGUAAUGGUCAUCAGUGACCCGUCUUGAAACACGGACCAAGGAGUCGUCUUCGUAUGCGAGUGUUCGGGUGUCAAACCCCUACGCGUAAUGAAAGUGAACGUAGGAGAGAGCUUCGGCGCAUCUCCGACCGAUCCUGAUGUUCUCGGAUGGAUUUGAGUAAGAGCAUACGGGGCCGGACCCGAAAGAAGGUGAACUAUGCCUGUAUAGGGUGAAGCCAGAGGAAACUCUGGUGGAGGCUCGCAGCGGUUCUGACGUGCAAAUCGAUCGUCAAAUAUGGGCAUGGGGGCGAAAGACUAAUCGAACCUUCUAGUAGCUGGUUUCCGCCGAAGUUUCCCUCAGGAUAGCAGUGUUGAACUCAGUUUUAUGAGGUAAAGCGAAUGAUUAGGGACCCGGGGGCGCUUUUUAGCCUUCAUCCAUUCUCAAACUUUAAAUAUGUAAGAAGCCCUUGUUGCUUAGUUGAACGUGGGCAUUCGAAUGUAUCAACACUAGUGGGCCAUUUUUGGUAAGCAGAACUGGCGAUGCGGGAUGAACCGAACGCGAGGUUAAGGUGCCAGAGUAGACGCUCAUCAGACACCACAAAAGGUGUUAGUACAUUUUGACAUUUGGACGGUGGCCAUGGAAGUCGGAAUCCGCUAAGGACUGUGUAACAACUCACCAAACGAAUGUACUAGCCCUGAAAAUGGAUGGCGCUCAAGCGUCUCACCCAUACCUCGCCCUCAGGGUAGAAACGAUGCCCUGAGGAGUAGGCGGACGUGGAGGUCAGUGACGAAGCCUAGGGCGUGAGCCCGGGUUGAACGGCCUCUAGUGCAGAUCUUGGUGGUAGUAGCAAAUACUUCAAUGAGAACUUGAAGGACCGAAGUGGGGAAAGGUUCCAUGUGAACAGCGGUUGGACAUGGGUUAGUCGAUCCUAAGCCAUAGGGAAGUUCCGUUUCAAAGGCGCACUUGUGCGCCGUCUGGCGAAAGGGAAGCCGGUCAAUAUUCCGGCACCUGGAUGUGGGUUUUGCGCGGCAACGCAACUGAACGCGGAGACGACGGCGGGUGCCCCAGGCAGAGUUCUCUUUUCUUCUUAACGGUCUCUCACCCUGAAAUCGGUUUGUCCGGAGCUAGGGUUUAAUGGCCGGAAGAGCCCAGCACUUCUGCUGGGUCUGGUGCGCACUCGACGUCCCUUGAAAAUCCGCGGGAGGGAAUAAUUCUCACGCCAGGUCGUACUCAUAACCGCAGCAGGUCUCCAAGGUGAACAGCCUCUGGUUGAUAGAACAAUGUAGAUAAGGGAAGUCGGCAAAAUAGAUCCGUAACUUCGGGAUAAGGAUUGGCUCUAAGGGUUGGGUGCGUUGGGCCUUGGAAGUACGCCUCGGGAGCAGGCUGCCACUAGCCGGGCAACCGGCCGGCGGCGGCCAGCAUCCGGCGCUGAUGUCCUUGGCAGGCUUCGGCCGUCCGGCGCACGUUUAACAACCAACUUAGAACUGGUACGGACAGGGGGAAUCUGACUGUCUAAUUAAAACAUAGCA